GACGAACGCUGGCGGCGUGCCUAAUACAUGCAAGUCGAGCGCAGGAAGCCGACGGAACCCUUCGGGGGAAGUCGACGGAAUGAGCGGCGGACGGGUGAGUAACACGUAAAGAACCUGCCCUCAGGUCUGGGAUAACCACGAGAAAUCGGGGCUAAUACCGGAUGGGUCAUCGGACCGCAUGGUCCGAGGAUGAAAGGCGCUUCGGCGUCGCCUGGGGAUGGCUUUGCGGUGCAUUAGCUAGUUGGUGGGGUAAUGGCCCACCAAGGCGACGAUGCAUAGCAGACGUGAGAGGGUGAUCGGCCACACUGGGACUGAGACACGGCCCAGACUCCUACGGGAGGCAGCAGUAGGGAAUCUUCCACAAUGGACGAAAGUCUGAUGGAGCAACGCCGCGUGAACGAUGAAGGCCUUCGGGUCGUAAAGUUCUGUUGUAAGGGAAGAACAAGUGCCGCAGGCAAUGGCGGCACCUUGACGGUACCUUGCGAGAAAGCCACGGCUAACUACGUGCCAGCAGCCGCCGUAAGAC
rnacentral:rRNA from 1 species